rnacentral:misc_RNA from 1 species
UUAAGUUCAGCGGGUAGUCCUACCUGAUUUGAGAUCAAAUGUUCAAAGAGCUGUCCUCGCUGAGGAGAGACAUUUAUGAGCCCCAGCGAACCUCCAUCCACUGAAGGUUACCUAGCAGAAAACCACAAGUGUAGAUAUUUAUCACACCUGUGACGCCACCAAACACUGGCAAGCUGAUCCAUUUGAGAGGAGCCAACCAU